CCGACGGGUGAGUAACACGUAUGCAAUCCACCCUGUAACAGGGGGAGUAACCCGGAGAAAUCCGGACUAAUACCCAUAAUAUGGGCGCUCCGCAUGGAGAGUCCAUUAAAGAGAGCAAUCUUGGUUACAGACGAGCAUGCGCUCCAUUAGCCAGUUGGCGGGGUAACGGCCCACCAAGGCGACGAUGGAUAGGGGUUCUGAGAGGAAGGUCCCCCACAUUGGAACUGAGACACGGUCCAA
rnacentral:rRNA from 1 species